CCAUCUCUUGGAGCUCCGGAUGCCAGUCUACCUCCCGAAGCCCAGUUUUUCCAUCUCCCUGUGCUCAAGGGUCAGAGUGUCUUCCCCAAAGAGGGGAUCAAGUGUAAUCCACAUGGGUAGUACUGCUCCUGACACACUAACUUUGAAAACGCUGCUGUGAUUUGUUACAUGUCUACACAUCACUGGGUUUUGAGUUCAUCAAAGUGAAGAACCUCAUUAAAAAACUAUUCAAGCCUUUACAACAUGCCACGAAUGUGCUCAUCACUGCCUCCAGGAGGUUUAUAUUCUGUGUGAAAGAUGAACCGAGUCUAGGUCCCCAGCAGACAGUGGAGGGGCCGUGCACACCCCAAGUCUGCUCCUGGGGCCACGGACGGCGUAAGGCCUGUGGACUGAGUAAGAAAAUGAGGAGAUAGUCUUCACAGACACAUUAUCAACACACUCACCUUUUAUCGGAUCAUGUGCCAGGCAGGGGACCUGCCCCAGAGGUAUCUUUGUGCCCUGGGGCUCUCUCCAAGGACCCAGGAGGCGUGACUCUACUUGGACACACAUGCCCACCGUGUAAUUUACACCAGGCCUCAGACCCUCUGGACAUUUAGACAAAGGGGCUACUUGGGAUUACAAUGUAGGUUAACCCCUCAGUUUGGUGUUUCUACUUCUGGGAAUUUAUCCAUAAGGAUACCGCUAACGUAGGCUGAGAUUUAUGGACAAGAAUGUUUAGCAUGUCCUGUUUAGAAAAGAGAAAAAUUAGAAAUAAUACAGAUGCCAGCGGCCAGGGGUUACUUGUUAAAUCUGAGUAAAGCGAUACAGUGGCGUGUCGGCGCAUCGGUGAAAGUAUCUUUCAAAGGAUAGUCAAUACCAUUAAAUAAUGCAUUGCGAUUUAUUCACCAAA